ACUGUGGAUAGGAGUGAAAGGCUAAACAAGUCCGGAGAUAGCUGGUUCUCCCCGAAAGCUAUUGAGGUAGCGCGUCUAGUAUUACUGCCGGGGGUAGAGCACUGUUACGGCUAGGGGGCUGUCACGGCUUACCAACCCGUUGCAAACUCCGAAUACCGGCAAGUACGAGCUAGGCAGACAGACGGCGGGUGCUAACGUCCGUCGUCAAGAGGGAUGAAAACCCAGACCGCCAGCUAAGGUCCCCAAAUAUGGCUCAGUGGGAAACGAUGUGGGAAGGCAAAGACAGCUAGGAGGUUGGCUUAGAAGCAGCCAUCCUUUAAAGAAAGCGUAAUAGCUCACUAGUCGAGUCGGCCUGCGCGGAAGAUUUAACGGGGCUCAAGCCAUAUACCGAAGCUGCGGGUGUGUUCUAUGAACACGCGGUAGGGGAGCGUUCGGUAAGCCAGUGAAGGUGUGUCGGAAGGCAUGCUGGAGGUAUCCGAAGUGCGAAUGCUGACAUGAGUAGCGAUAAAGGGUGUGAAAACCACCCUCGCCGUAAGCCCAAGGGUUCCUGCGUCAAGUCAAUCUGCGCAGGGUGAGUCGGCCCCUAAGGCGAGGCCGAGAGGCGUAGCUGAUGGGAAAUCGGUUAAUAUUCCGAUACUGUUGUAAGAUGCGAUGGAGUGACGGAGAAAGGUAGCUCAGCCGGGUGUUGGACGUCCUGGUUUAAGCGUGUAGGGAGUCUUCUUAGGCAAAUCCGGGAAGGCAAUCUCAAGGCGUGAUGACGAUCCUCUACGGAGGAGAAGUGAGUGAACCUACGCUUCCAGGAAAAGCUUCUAAGCUCUAGUCUUACGAUGACCGUACCCCAAACCGACACAGGUGGGCAGGAAGAAUAUUCCAAGGCGCUUGAGAGACCUCGGGUGAAGGAACUCGGCAAAUUGACACCGUAACUUCGGAAGAAGGUGUGCCCUUUUAGGUUGUACUCCCUUGCGGAGGAAGGCCGAAGGGGUCGCAGAGAAUCGGUGGCUGCAACUGUUUAACAAAAACACAGGGCUCUGCAAAGACGAAAGUCGACGUAUAGGGUCUGACGCCUGCCCGGUGCCGGAAGGUUAAGUGAGGGGGUGCAAGCUCUUGAUCGAAGCCCCGGUAAACGGCGGCCGUAACUAUAACGGUCCUAAGGUAGCGAAAUUCCUUGUCGGGUAAGUUCCGACCUGCACGAAUGGCGUAAUGAUGGCCACACUGUCUCCACCCGAGACUCAGCGAAGUUGAAGUCGCUGUGAAGAUACAGCGUUCCCGUGGCAAGACGGAAAGACCCCGUGCACCUUUACUAUAACUUAGCAUGGGACCUUGAGAUGAUUUGUGUAGGAUAGGUGGGAGGCUGUGAAACUGGGACGCUAGUUCUGGUGGAGCCGUCCUUGAAAUACCACCCUGGUGAUCUUGGGGUUCUAACCUCGAUCCGUUAUCCGGAUCAGGGACAGUGUUAGGCGGGUAGUUUGACUGGGGCGGUCUCCUCCCAAAGAGUAACGGAGGAGCACGAAGGUACCCUCAGCGCGGUCGGAAAUCGCGCAGUGAGUGCAAAGGCACAAGGGUGCUUGACUGCGAGACUGACAAGUCGAGCAGGUGCGAAAGCAGGCCUUAGUGAUCCGGUGGUUCUGUAUGGAAGGGCCAUCGCUCAACGGAUAAAAGGUACGCCGGGGAUAACAGGCUGAUCUCCCCCAAGAGUCCACAUCGACGGGGAGGUUUGGCACCUCGAUGUCGGCUCAUCGCAUCCUGGGGCUGGAGAAGGUCCCAAGGGUCGGGCUGUGCGCCCGUUAAAGCGGUACAUGAGCUGGGUUUAGAACGUCGUGAGAAAGUUCGGUCGGUAUCCGCCGUGGGCGUUGGAGAUUUGAGAGGAGCCGCUC
rnacentral:rRNA from 1 species